rnacentral:rRNA from 1 species
AUUGAGCGCUGGCGGCAUGCUUUACACAUGCAAGUCGAACGGUAACAGGCCGCAAGGUGCUGACGAGUGGCGAACGGGUGAGUAAUGCAUCGGAACGUGCCCAGUCGUGGGGGAUAACGCAGCGAAAGCUGCGCUAAUACCGCAUACGAUCUAUGGAUGAAAGCGGGGGACCGAAAGGCCUCGCGCGAUUGGAGCGGCCGAUGUCAGAUUAGGUAGUUGGUGGGGUAAAGGCCCACCAAGCCAACGAUCUGUAGCUGGUCUGAGAGGACGACCAGCCAAACUGGGACUGAGACACGGCCCAGACUCCUACGGGAGGCAGCAGUGGGGAAUUUUGGACAAUGGGCGCAAGCCUGAUCCAGCAAUGCCGCGUGCAGGAAGAAGGCCUUCGGGUUGUAAACUGCUUUUGUACGGAACGAAACGGUCCGGGUUAAUACCCUGGGCUAAUGACGGUACCGUAAGAAUAAGCACCGGCUAACUACGUGCCAGCAGCCGCCGUAACAC